AGAAUUGACGGGGCCGCACAAGCGGUGGAGCAGUGUGGUUAAUUCGACGCAACGCGAAGAACCUUACCAGGGCUUGACAUCCCCUGACCGCGUAUGAAAGUACGUUUUCACCCUCGGGUGACAGGGAGACAGGUGGUGCAUGGUUGUCGUCAGCUCGUGUCGUGAGAUGUUGGGUUAAGUCCCGCAACGAGCGCAACCCCUACGUUUAGUUGCUAACAGGCGAAGCUGAGCACUCUAGACGAACUGCCGUUGACAAAACGGAGGAAGGUGGGAUGACGUCAAAUCAUCAUGCCCCUUAUGUUCUGGGCUACACACGUGCUACAAUGGCCGGUACAGACGGAGGCGAAGCCGCGAGGCGGAGCAAAUCCGAAAAAGCCGGUCUCAGUUCGGAUUGCAGGCUGCAAUUCGCCUGCAUGAAGUCGGAAUCGCUAGUAAUCGCAGGUCAGCAUACUGCGGUCGAAUACGUUCCCGGGCCUU
rnacentral:rRNA from 1 species